AUUGAACGCUGGCGGCAUGCCUUACACAUGCAAGUCGAACGGUAACAGGUCUUCGGAUGCUGACGAGUGGCGAACGGGUGAGUAAUACAUCGGAACGUGCCCAGUAGUGGGGGAUAGCCCGGCGAAAGCCUGAUCAAUACCGCAUACGACCUACGGGGGCAAGGGGGGGAUGGCAAGAGCUCUCGCUAUUUGAGCGGCCGAUGUCAGAGUAGGUAGUUGGUGGGGUCAAGGCCUACCAAGCCGACGAUCUGUAGCUGGUCUGAGAGGACGACCAGCCACACUGGGACUGAGACACGGCCCAGACUCCUACGGGAGGCAGCAGUGGGGAAUUUUGGACAAUGGGCGCAAGCCUGAUCCAGCCAUGCCGCGUGCGGGAAGAAGGCCUUCGGGUUGUAAACCGCUUUUGUCAGGGAAGAAAUCUUCUGAGUUAAUACCUCGGGAGGAUGACGGUACCUGAAGAAUAAGCACCGGCUAACUACGUGCCAGCCGCCGCGGUAA
rnacentral:rRNA from 1 species